AGAAAGUUAGUCUAACUAA
rnacentral:tRNA from 1 species